UGAACGCUGGCGGCGUGCUUAACACAUGCAAGUCGAACGAGAAAGGGAUUGCUUGCAGUCCUGAGUAGAGUGGCGCACGGGUGAGUAACACGUAGAUAAUCUACCUUCAAGCCUGGAAUAACUAUUCGAAAGGAUAGCUAAUACCGGAUGAAGUUGUUCAACUCAAGUUGAAUUAUGAAAGAUUGCCUCUUCUUGAAAGCAAUUGUUUGGAGAUGAGUUUGCGGACCAUUAGUUUGUUGGUGGGGUAAAGGCCUACCAAGACUACGAUGGUUAGCUGGUCUGAGAGGAUGAUCAGCCACACUGGAACUGGUACACGGUCCAGACUCCUACGGGAGGCAGCAGUGAGGAAUUUUGCGCAAUGGGGGAAACCCUGACGCAGCAACGCCGCGUGAGUGAAGAAGGCCCUUGGGUCGUAAAGCUCUGUCGACAGGGAAGAAAUUAUUAUACUUUAAUAAAGUAUAGUAUUGACGGUACCUGUAGAGGAAGCACCGGCUAACUCC
rnacentral:rRNA from 1 species